ensembl:snRNA U1 U1 spliceosomal RNA
AUACUUAACCUAGCCGAGGAGAUACUAUGGUCAAUAUCAUGGUCUACCCAGGUGAGGUUUAUUCAUUGCACUCAGGAUGUGCUGACCCCUGUGAUUUCCCCAAACGUGGGGAAACGCAACUGCAUAAUCUGUGGUAAUGAUUU